UACGUAGGGUGCAAGCGUUGUCCGGAAUUAUUGGGCGUAAAGAGCUCGUAGGCGGUUUGUCGCGUCUGCUGUGAAAACUCGGGGCUUAACUCCGGGCCUGCAGUGGGUACGGGCAGACUAGAGUGCGGUAGGGGAGACUGGAAUUCCUGGUGUAGCGGUGAAAUGCGCAGAUAUCAGGAGGAACACCGGUGGCGAAGGCGGGUCU
rnacentral:rRNA from 1 species